rnacentral:rRNA from 1 species
AUUGAACGCUGGCGGCAUGCUUUACACAUGCAAGUCGAACGGUAACAGGCCGCAAGGUGCUGACGAGUGGCGAACGGGUGAGUAAUGCAUCGGAACGUGCCCAGUCGUGGGGGAUAACGCAGCGAAAGCUGUGCUAAUACCGCAUACGAUCUGUGGAUGAAAGCGGGGGACCUUCGGGCCUCGCGCGAUUGGAGCGGCCGAUGUCAGAUUAGGUAGUUGGUGGGGUAAAGGCUCACCAAGCCGACGAUCUGUAGCUGGUCUGAUGAGGACGACCAGCCACACUGGGACUGAGACACGGCCCAGACUCCUACGGGAGGCAGCAGUGGGGAAUUUUGGACAAUGGGCGCAAGCCUGAUCCAGCAAUGCCGCGUGCAGGAAGAAGGCCUUCGGGUUGUAAACUGCUUUUGUACGGAGCGAAAAGGCUCCCUCUAAUACAGGGGGCUCAUGACGGUACCGUAAGAAUAAGCACCGGCUAACUACGUGCCAGCCGCCGCAGUAAGAC